rnacentral:rRNA from 1 species
UCUGGUUGAUCCUGCCAGUAGUCAUAUGCUUGUCUCAAAGAUUAAGCCAUGCAUGUCUAAGUAUAAAUAGUAUACAGUGAAACUGCGAAUGGCUCAUUAAAACAGUUAUAGUUUAUUUGAUAAUUGACAAUUACAUGGAUAACCGUGGUAAUUCUAGAGCUAAUACAUGCUUAAACGCCCGACUUUAUGGAAGGGUGGUAUUUAUUAGACUGAAGCCAAUAUUCCUUGUGUCUAUUGCGGUGAUUCAUAAUAACUGAUCGAAUCUCUUUUUGAGAUAAAUCAUUCAAGUUUCUGCCCUAUCAGCUUUCGAUGGUAGUGUAUUGGACUACCAUGGCAGUAACGGGUAACGAAGAAUUAGGGUUCGAUUUCGGAGAGGGAGCAUGAGAAACGGCUACCACAUCUAAGGAAGGCAGCAGGCGCGUAAAUUACCCAAUCCUGACUCAGGGAGGUAGUGACAAGAAAUAGCAAACCGGGAACCUCAUGGUUUCACGGUAUUGCAAUGAGAACAAUUUAAAACCCUUAGCGAGAAUCAAGUGGAGGACAAGUCUGGUGCCAGCACCCGCGGUAAUUCCAGCUCCACUAGCGUAUAUUAAAGUUGUUGCAGUUAAAAAGCUCGUAGUUGAACCUCUGUCUGGGGCUAGUUUUGGCUUUGGUCAGGCUAGUUCUAGGCAUCCGCCUACAAGACUUAGAGGGCAUUCAGUUGUUCACUAGGAGGAGUAGGCAUUUUACUUUGAAAAAAUUAGAGUGUUUAAGGCAGGCAAUCGCCCGCAUAUAUUAGCAUGGAAUAAUAGAAUAGGACACUUUUCCAUUUCGUUGGUUAUUGGAAUCGUGUGAUGAUUAAUAGGGACAGUUGUGGGCAUUUGUAUUUAAUUGUCAGAGGUGAAAUUCUUGGAUUUAUUAAAGACAAACUAACGCGAAAGCAUUUGCCAAGGAUGUUUUCAUUAAUCAAGAACGAAAGUUAGGGGAUCAAAGACGAUCAGAUACCGUCCUAGUCUUAACUAUAAACUAUUCCGACUCAAUGUUUGACUGGCUUAUAUAACCAGUUGAGCGUUGUAUGAGAAAUCAAAGUCUUUAGGUUCUGGGGGGAGUAUGGUUGCAAAGCUGAAACUUAAAGGAAUUGACGGAAGAGCACAACCAGGAGUGGAUUCUGCGGCUUAAUUUGACUCAACACGGGGAAACUUACCAGGUUAAAACAAUAGUGGGAUUGACAGUUUGAGAGCGCUUUCUUGAUUGGUUGGGUGGUGGUGCAUGGCCGUUCUUAGUUGGUGGAGUGAUUUGUCUGCUUAAUUGCGUUAACGAACGAGACCUUAACCUGCUUACUAGACC